AGGAAGGCAAAUUGGAAGCGAAGGCAAAUGCAGGGGGUGGAGGAGGCCCACGCUCGUCACACCGAGUUGAAGGUUAGUUAGAAAAUUCAUAAGUUGCUAUAAUAGUUGCUUUCCAUGGCAAUCUGAGUCUAGCUACAGCUUUCCUACUUUUGCUAGCGUGUUCAUAACCCUGACU